CAGUCGAGCGGACGGAUGGGAGCUUGCUCCCUGAUGUUAACGGCGGACGGGUGAGUAACACGUGGGUAACCUGCCUGUAAGACUGGGAUAACUCCGGGAAACCGGGGCUAAUACCGGAUGGUUGUUUGAACCGCAUGGUUCAGACAUAAAAGGUGGCUUCGGCUACCACUUACAGAUGGACCCGCGGCGCAUUAUCUAGUUGGUGAGGUAACGGCUCACCAAGGCGACGAUGCGUAGCCGACCUGAGAGGGUGAUCGGCCACACUGGGACUGAGACACGGCCCAGACUCCUACGGGAGGCAGCAGUAGGGAAUCUUCCGCAAUGGACGAAAGUCUGACGGAGCAACGCCGCGUGAGUGAUGAAGGUUUUCGGAUCGUAAAGCUCUGUUGUUAGGGAAGAACAAGUGCCGUUCAAAUAUGGCGGCACCUUGACGGUACCUAACCAGAAAGCCACGGCUAACUACGUGCCAGCAGCCGCGGUAAUACGUAGGUGGCAAGCGUUGUCCGGAAUUAUUGGGCGUAAAGGGCUCGCAGGCGGUUUCUUAAGUCUGAUGUGAAAGCCCCCGGCUCAACCGGGGAGGGUCAUUGGAAACUGGGGAACUUGAGUGCAGAAAAGGAGAGUGGAAUUCCACGUGUAGCGGUGAGAUGCGUAGAGAUGUGGAGGAACACCAGUGGCGAAAGCGACUCUCUGGUCUGUAACUGACACUGAGGAGCGAAAGCGUGUGGAGCGAACAGGAUUAUAUACCCUGGUAGUCCACGCCGUAACGAUGAGUGCUAAUGUUAUGGGGUUUCCGCCCCUUAUUGCUGCAGCUUACGCAUUAAGCACUCCGCCCUGGGGAGUACGGUCGCAGACUGAACUCCAUGAUGACCGGGGCCGCCAGCGUGGACAUGUGGUAAUCGAG
rnacentral:rRNA from 1 species